UACUCCUUAGGGAGGCAGAGUGGGGAAUAGGGAACAAUGGACAAAAGCCUGAUCCAGCAACGCCGCGUGAGGGAUGACGGCCUUCGGGUUGUAACCUCAUUCCUCUUCUAGACGAAGCCGUUAUGAGGGU
rnacentral:rRNA from 1 species